rnacentral:rRNA from 1 species
GAAAGUAUUUAAGGGUGUGUGGGGGAUGCCUUGGCUCUUGGAGGCGAUGAAGGACGUGAUAAGCUGCGAUAAGCUUCGGGUAUUGGCAAAUACGAGUUAAUCCGAAGAUUUCCGAAUGAGACAACUCGGCUGGUUGAAGACCAGUCAUCCGUAAGGAGGCCAACCCGGGGAACUGAAACAUCUAAGUACCCGGAGGAAAAGAAAAUAAUAAUGAUUCCGCAAGUAGUGGCGAGCGAACGCGGACUAGCCCAAACCAUUGUCGUUACGGCGGCAGUGGGGUUGUAGGACUACGACAUUUUAAGGUAAGUGAACUGGAAGCGCAUGGGAAGGCGCGCAAUAUAGGGUGACAGCCCCGUACAGGUAAGCGAACUGGCGAUAGUAGUAUCCUGAGUAGGACGGAACCGGCGAAAUUCCGUUUGAAUCUGCCAGCACCAUCUGGUAAGGCUAAAUACUCCCAAGAGACCGAUAGUGAACAAGUACCGUGAGGGAAAGGUGAAAAGUACCGUGAAUAACGGGGUGAAAUAGUACCUGAAACCGCACACCUACAAGCGGUCGGAGCUACUUCGUGUAGUGACGGCGUGCCUUUUGCAUAAUGAGCCUACGAGUUGCUCCUCAUUGGCAAGGUUAAGUCUUUAAGGGACGUAGCCGGAGCGAAAGCGAGUCUGAAUAGGGCGUACAGUCAGUGGGGGCAGACGCGAAACCUUGUGAUCUACCCAUGGUCAGGUUGAAGUUGCGGUAACACGCAAUGGAGGACCGAACCAGUUGACGUUGAAAAGUCUUUGGAUGAACUGUGGGUAGGGGUGAAAGGCCAAUCAAACUGGGAAAUAGCUCGUACUCCCCGAAAUGCAUUUAGGUGCAGCGUCGGGUUGAGUCUGGCGGAGGUAGAGCUACCGAUAGGACUAGGGGGAGUCAAAUCCUACCAAAUCCUGACGAACUCCGAAUGCCGUCAGAUAUAACCGGCAGUGAGGGCAUGGGUGCUAAGGUCCAUGUCCGAGAGGGAAAGAACCCAGAUCCUCAGCUAAGGUCCCCAAGUAUACAUUAAGUUGAACUAAGGCGGUCCAGUUGCAUAGACAGCCAGGAGGUUAGCUUGGAAGCAGCUAUUCCUUUAAAGAGUGCGUAACAGCUCACUGGUCGAGCGACAGGGCAUCGAUAAUAAUCGGGCAUCAAAUGUAUCACCGAAGCUAGGACAGUAUUUUAUACUGGGUAGGGGAGCAUUCUAAGGGCGGUGAAGGUGUGAGGUAACUCAUGCUGGAGCGCUUAGAAAAGCAAAUGUAGGCAUAAGUAACGAUAAGGCAGGCGAGAAACCUGCCCGCCGAUAGACUAAGGUUUCCUGAUCAACGCUAAUCGGAUCAGGGUUAGUCGGGUCCUAAGGCGAACCCGAAAGGGGUAGUCGAUGGCAAAUUGGUUAAUAUUCCAAUACUUGCUGCAUCAGCGAUGGAGUGACGGAGUAGUGAAAGUCCCGCGAACUGACGGAAUAGUUCGUUAAAGCGUGUAGGUAUAGGACCGGAUAGGCAAAUCCACCGGACCUGCUGAACGUGAUAGUACCGCAAUACUUCGGUAGCGUGGAUAGUGGACCUAAUCAGACUUCCAAGAAAAACUUCUAAGCUUAUGGUGUAGCAACCCGUACCGUAAACCGACACAGGUAGUCAAGGAGAGAAUCCUGAGGCGCUCGAGUGAUUCAUGGCUAAGGAACUAGGCAAAAUGACCCUGUAACUUCGGGAGAAGGGGUGCUUCCCUCGUAAGAGGAAGCCGCAGUGAAAAGAUCCAGGCGACUGUUUAACAAAAACACAUGGCUCUGCGAAAUCGAAAGAUGAUGUAUAGAGCCUGACACCUGCCCGGUGCCGGAAGGUUAAGUGGGGGCGUUAGACUUCGGUCAAAGCGCUGAAAUGAAGCCCCGGUAAACGGCGGCCGUAACUAUAACGGUCCUAAGGUAGCGAAAUUCCUUGUCGGGUAAGUUCCGACCUGCACGAAUGGUGCAACGAUCUGGAUACUGUCUCGGCCAUGAGCUCGGUGAAAUUGUAGUAGCGGUGAAGAUGCCGCUUACCCGCCACGGGACGGAAAGACCCCAUGAACCUUUACUACAGCUUUACAUUGACAUUGGGUAACUGAUGUGUAGGAUAGGCGGGAGACUGUGAUCCUGCGUCGCUAGGCGUAGGUUAGUCAUUGGUGAAAUACCGCCCUUCGGUUAUCUGAUGCCUAAUCCCAAAAGGAGACAUUGUAUGGCGGGUAGUUUGACUGGGGUGGUCGCCUCCAAAAGAGUAACGGAGGCUCCCAAAGGUACCCUCAGCACGCUUGGUAACCGUGCGCAGAGUGUAAUAGCAUAAGGGUGCUUGACUGUGAGGCCUACAAGCCGAGCAGGAACGAAAGUUGGGUAUAGUGAUCCGGUGGUUCCGCAUGGAAGGGCCAUCGCUCAAAGGAUAAAAGGUACUCUGGGGAUAACAGGCUGAUCUCCCCCAAGAGCUCACAUCGACGGGGAGGUUUGGCACCUCGAUGUCGGCUCGUCACAUCCUGGGGCUGGAGAAGGUCCCAAGGGUUGGGCUGUUCGCCCAUUAAAGUGGCACGCGAGCUGGGUUCAGAACGUCGUGAGACAGUUCGGUCCCUAUCUGUGGUGGGCGUUGGAAAUUUGAGGAGACCUGUCCUUAGUACGAGAGGACCGGGAUGGACAUACCGCUGGUGUAUCAGUUGUGCCGCCAGGUGCAUUGCUGAGUAGCUACGUAUGGAUGAGAUAAGCGCUGAAAGCAUCUAAGCGCGAAACUCGCUCCAAGAUGAGAUUUCCUUUAAGGGUUGUUAUAGACGAUGACGUUGAUAGGCUACAAGUGUAAAGGCAGAGAUGUCAUAGCUGAGUAGUACUAAUUGCCCGAACACUUUCUCGU